rnacentral:ncRNA from 2 species
UCAUACCUUUGUACCCACGGUUCAUAAAUCCUUCUUCAGGAAAUAUGAUGAAAAGGGAAUCAGGUGAAAAUCCUGAACAGUCCCGCUGCUGUAAUUCUCAUAAAAAAUGGAGAUUAACAAAUACCCUCCGCCACUGAACCUGACGUUCGGGAAGGCGUUUUUUCUCCAGAGAUAAGUCAGAAGACCUGCCGUAUAAAAUCUAAAAGU